GGGUAAUACCUUUUUCUUUUCCUCAUUUCAAUACCAAACACCCCUUAACCUUUUCUCUCUCAGGGUUUGCGAAAAUGCUAGCCGCCGCCUGCUUCACCUCCCUCUCUCCUACGUUACAUUGCCGGAUAUGGCAAAGACGAGGGCCCACAUGGCUUUUGCAGCUGUGGAGUUGGCCGAGAAUGGCAAGAGCAUUAAAUGCUCUGCAAUUUCGCACCUAUCACCACCCAAAGGCCACUCUAAACACGGUAUAUCUCUCUUCUCUCCUGACUUUUCUAUGAAUCAACGGUUUAAACUCGGAAAAUCCUUAAUGGUUUUUGUUUGCAUACGUUUUGAAUACUAAUUUUUCAUUAGUUCAUAAAGAAUCAUACGGAUUGGCUUUGAUUGGGUCAAAUCUAACCUUUGAUUUGUUUGUGUGUUUGAUUCCUAACCGUUAGAUGUGGUUUUGAGAGAAGCAAACUCUCAGAUUUGCUAUACUCCCACAUCGAUUACAAACUAGGGUUUGAGAAUUUGGGGGUUCUAUAUAAAGAACUCCAUUCUCCACUAUUUCAACAAGUUUAGGCAUAUUGAUAUACCACUAUACUAAAAAAAAAAAAACUCAAAUACCUAGGGAUUUCAGCAUAAAAAUUGCGAGAACCUUUAAUUUUUUAGUUAAGUUUAAGUUUUAAAAUUUGAUUGCUUGUGUUGCGUGUGGCUGAGGUGAUUUGGGAGCAAGGAGAAUCUCUAAGUCCAACCUCGACUUGGCUGCACGAGCAAAAGGUACUUUUUCAUCCUUUUCUUUAAUUUAGUUACUUUAUAUGUUUUCUCUUAUGUGAUUAUGUGGUAGUUUAGCUUAGUUUAAAAUAGUCUUAGUUAAUUUAUAUUUCUUCUGCUAUGCAUUUGUUAGAGUAGUUUAGUAUUAAUCUCUGCUUAUUUGAUAGUGUUUUAGCUAAUUUGAGACUGCUUAGUAUUAAUGUUUGGCUUAUGAUCAUUUUGAAUCAGUGUAGCUCUUGCCCUUAGCUUAGAAUGAUUAUGUGAUCUAUUCUUAUGGUAUAGUUUAGUUGGUUCUUGGUCAGUGUUGAAUUUUCUUACAAAUCAAUUUUGGUUUCUUUUUGUUCUUUUUUUGUCCAAGACUGUUGUACACUAUUUAGCUAAUGUUUUAGUCUAGAUUGGUUAUCUUGUGGCAGUUUGCUUUGGUUUAAUAAUCAGACAUAGUCAUGUGGGUUGCUUAGUAGUCCAUAGGCCAAUUGGAACAUAAGUGGUUAAUAUAAUGUAAUCAUAUAUCAAGUAUGGUUUUGAAUAUGAACUGAUGAACUGGUAUUAGAUAAUAGAUACUUGUUUGUGUUUGUUGAAGCCCAUAAACCUGAUAUGAGUUCCAAUUUUCUAAAAAAGGUUGUAGUAUGGUGGUUUAACCAAACUGUUUGGAGUCUAUAUUUUUUAGAUCACCCUUAGAAGCUAUGAGUUACCAUCAUGUGUCAAAGGCUGUUUCUCUUGUUUGUGGUUUAAACCUUUUUCUGUCAAAAGAUUUUAAAUGAACACUGAGUUUAGACCACAGUCCAUGGUAUACUUUGCUUUCCAGUCUUUGUUUAAACAUUAUUAAAGUGAGUAUACUAGUUUAACUGAGUCAGUUUGGUUCUCCUGUUGGUUCUUAUAUCUGUGUUUAGCUGUCUAAAAGAAAAGAGGAAUUUAGGUUCUUAAUCUCAUCUAGGAGGUCUUGUUCUUCAUAAACUAUCUACGCACUUAUUUGUUUACUCAGAUUUUUUUUUUUACAAAAAAAGACUGUUCUUGUUUUUUACAUGUCUAAGUGUCUUGUGUAAUCUGGAGUCCUAUUUGUCACUAUUUAAUCACUGGUUUACUAUGGUUACUGUCAUAAUGGGUGAAUCCCACACUUGAUAAUAUGAAAGUUUAGUUAACUGAUUAGGUAAACAAGCUUAAAAACGAUUGAACUAAUUUUCCUUGGAGUUAGUUAAAUCUCUUAAGUUUACAGAUUAGGAGUUAAGUAAAACAGGAUCAUGGUUUAUUUCUUAUUUUCUCUUGUUUGUCCUCUGCGCUCCUAAAUGUUAAACACAUCAACUGCCACUGCCUGUGUCCUGUGUUGUUUUAUGGGUUUUGAUAUUAAAUUGGCUUCAAAGUCAGGACCUCAACUUUCUUGUUACUAUUUUGACAUCUGACGAAACUGAGUAGUCAUUUGAACCUGUUUUAUGGAGUAGGAUAUUUAUUUAUAUGGACUUUAAAGGACUGAAAAUAGGGAGUAAAGAUUUGAAGUUGAAUUACUUGUGUCCGGUUGUCCUGUUCUGUUGAAACUUAUAAUGUUAAGGUGAUUUCUUUGUCUCUCCAUGCUCUGUUUGAAUGAGAUGUCUUUAGGUUAAAAUCUUGAACCAUGUAUAUCCCCUCCCCUUACCCUUUAUUUGUUUGAACUAAAUAUCAGUUAUAUACAAUAGAUAUACAUAGGAUAUACAAGUCCAGUAUACAUUCCGAUGUACCCAGAGUUGUAUAUAAUGUAUAUCACCUGAAUUUCUCUUAAAAUAAGCUUAAACAUCAUGGGCUUGUCUGAUCCAAUCUGUUUGUCCUCACGUGAACCUUAUGGGCUUGAGUCCAAUUUGAAUCAUCAGGGCUUUGAUAUAAAUUUUUUCUGAAACUGUUUGCAUUUUUUUACCGUCUGGGCCUGCGUUUAUGUAUCCUUGGGCUUUGAAUAGUGCUCACGUCUCAUCCAAACUUGUUGAAGUGUAUAUCUGAAUUAAAUCUGUUUAGUAUAUGUAUGUUUGAAUACUUGUGUAUUUUAAUUUCUGUUUAAUUGUUGUGAAUAAGUUGGGUGGUUCUAACCCCAAAUCUCUUUUUCCCCUUUCUCUUUGCAUGGCAUACUACCUGGGUACUCUUCUCUUUUUUAUACCAUGUUGGUCCUGAGGCCCAAUUUCCUUGAUCGAGUCAGCAUGAUUUUAGAAAGGGAAGCUAAUAUAUUGAAGGCCCAACGAUGGGUGAAAAUGAUCACUGGUCGGCUUAGGAGUUCUCUGAUCUUAUGCAAAGUGAGUUUGAAAUGAGCAUGAUGGAAGAAUUAACCUUCUUAUUGGGACUCCAAAUUGUCCAAAGUAAGGAUGAAACCUUUAUUUGCCAAACCAAGUAAACUAAAGAACUUAUUCAAAAGUUUGGCAUGACUGAAGCUAAAGCUUUAGGGACUCCAGUGAGCCCUACCAACUCUCUCGAUAAAGAUGAAGAAGGAAAGCCUGUUGAUGAAUCUAAAUAUUGUGGUAUGAUUGGAUCUUUACUUUAUCUAACUGCCAGUCUACGAGACAUUAUGUUUAGUUUUUGUAGGCGUGCAAGAUUUCAAUCAACUCCAAGAUUCACCUCAUAUAGUUGUUGAGAGAAUUAUUCGAUAUCUUGUUGGAACUCCUAAUUAUGGUCUUUGGUAUCCAAAUACUAACAAUUUUAAACUUGAAGGAUUUUCUAAUGCGAAUUUUGCAAGUGAUAAAGAUGAGAGAAAAAGUACUAGUGGAACUUGUCAACUCUUGGGAAAAUCCUUGAUCUCUUGGAACAGCAAGAAACAAGGAUCUGUCUCACUAUCAACAACUGAAGUUGAAUACAUUGCCAUAGGACAAUGUUGUGCUCAAUUAAUAUAGAUGACUCAUCUUAUUGAUUAUGACUUGCUAUUUAGACUUGUCAAAAAAAAUUGUGAUAACUCUAGUGUUAUUUGCUUGUCAAAGAAUCAUGUGCAUCAUUCUAGGGUAAAGCAUAUAGAUAUUAAACAUCACUUUAUUAGAGAUCAUGUUAUUAAGGGUAACAUAGAAAUUGCUUUUGUUAGCAAGACUCUCAACUUGCUGAUGUGUUCACUAAACCCUUGCUUGAAGAAAGAUCUUAUUACUUAGAGACUCACUUCGAAUAAUUGCUAACCAUGUGAUAUAUUUAUAAUUUCCCUAAUUUUUGCAUGUACUCUUAAUUAUUUUUCCUUAAACGUGUGGUGUACGAGUUGUUCGUGCGUCAAUCAAUAUAUUUUCAUUUAUUCACUGCCUUAAUUGGGUACUAGGAUCCUAGCCUUUUUCCCACCACUUCACGCCUCUACAUUUUCCUUUUAUACCAACUCCCUCUGUUCCAUCAUUACUCUACCGCCUCUUCCUAUACCUUAUGAUGUUUCUUGUCACACGUCACACCAAUUCUCUUCCCCAUCAUUUUGAAUUCUAUCUAACCCUCUUAUUUACUCUUCCCACCUUACACCACUCUGCAUCUUCCCUCCAAACCUUUCACCUUUCAUCUUUUUCAUCCAUGACUAAAACAACCUAGAAUCCUUCUAGCCCUGUCCGCAAAAGCUCUCACAGCAAGACCAACACAUCUCGCAAAAUGGAACCUGUUCAUAUCGACUCUAACAACUCUGACCACACUCUCUCCGAUCAUGACCUCUCCGAUUGUGGGGAAAUUUUGUCUGAAAAACAACUCGGUAAGCGUCCUAUCUCACACCUUGAGUGUUCUGAGUUUCCCAAAAAGGUAAAAAUCGAGCUUGAUAGUUUUUAUGACAAUAGGAUGAAUUUCUAGGAAACUAAGAAUUUUGAUCUUUUUACCAUCCUUAGGACCAAACCUGUUAACCCAGGUCAUGUUGUUGAUCUUAACUUGUUUGAGACUCUCCAUUGUAAUCUUAAGCCUUAUUUUGACUAUCAAGGUUGGAGCAGUAUAUUCCAUGUCCUGCUGAGGUUUAUGAUAAUCUUGUCUGUAUGUUCUAUGCUAAUCUUCGUUCCUCUCGUCCUAAUGAACUCGAAACUCUUGUGCUAGGAAAACGUAUCUUUCUUGAUUGUGAAAUGUUUGAUCCCUUUUAUGUUGUUCCUGCUCUGGCUACUCUUGUCCUUUUCACAAUGCUUGGCCUGAAAACUUUGAAGUUACCUAUGAACAAGCCAAAGAAGUAAUUUCUGAGCCUUCUACUGACCCUCCCCCAAAUCAACUCACUCCAAAUGAACUCUGUUUCACCACUAGAGUCCUUGCCCACAUUGUCUCUACCACAAUUUCGCCCCGAAAUGGCUCCGUCUCAACACUCACUCAGCGGGACACUCUCAUCACCUACUAUCUUGUUAUGUAAAAAAAACUCAAGCUAUCCUCUCUCAUUAUCAACAGUAUGAUUGAAGUUUCUCCUGAUUCUCCUUACCUUCCUAUUGUAUGCUCAUAACAAGACUUCUUGAAGCAUGUGACCUCGAACUUGUCUAAUUCCGUAGUACCUCUGUCACUAAAUGCUAUAACUCUAAGUAUGGGGUAUGUUCUUGGAGGUGAUUCUUGGGUGAAGAAAGAAAUUGAAGUCCCUCUACCUCCUCUCACUUCUGACACCAAAGAAUUUAUUGCCUUAGAUUGUGAUCUUCUCGCUAAGCUAGUUGUGUUAGAUGGAAAAAUUAAUGGUUUGAGGGAAUUGCUCCUGUCUCACCAAUCCCAACUCGACAAACUCAAGGAUGUCGCUACAGAAAGGGAAUCUGACGUGAGCAAGCUCAGGUUGUUGGUGGAGAGAACUUCUAAGGAUGCGAUCAAGACUUUGAAGAACGUCUUCUCUGCAGUGGAUGUUGUCCCUGUUAGAAUUGACACAAUGCAACAUAAUGCAGGAGGCCCUCCUUCACAAGUUGGACAAUUUGAAGACCGCUCUUCUCCAGCUCUUACUUACUUUUUUAUUCCCUAGAUGUUGGGUUAUGUUGCUAUGUUAAGACAAUGUUUUGCUUUAUGGUUUGUUGCUACUUGGUUGCAUGUCUCUGUGAACUGCCCCUUUUGCUACUUGCCUACUAUGUGUUAAUUCUCUUAGUUAUAUUAGCCAAUCCCUUCUAUGAAUGUGUUACUUGUAUCGUUUGUUUGCUCCUUUCUUUUUGUUGAUGCCAAAGCGGGAGAAAUAUUGAAUUCAGGGGGAGCAUAAGUGCAAGUCCUAUGCAAGUCAAUUACCAAGAACUCAGGGGGAGCAGUCAAUUUGCAUCUAAAGGGAAGUACAAUACAUUAUAUUUCAAAAAAGGGGAGAUUGGCAGAUUUUAAUGAUGACUUAAUGUAUUAUGCAGGUACACCAAAAUAAAAAAAAAUAAAAAAGGACAAAAGUGACACUGGACCCUAUACCACGAAGAGUCAACAAAAGAGAAUAAGAGGAAGAAUAUUGCAUUAAUUAAUUAAUGCAAUGAUACUAGGACCUCGAUAUCCUUACUGCAGAAUGUGGAUGAGCUUAUUGUUCACAGUCUUAGUUUAAUGCAAAGUUCCUGAUCAGAUUCUGCAUUUAGUAACCAGUAUUCAGGUUGUUGCAGUACAAAUGUACAAUAUGUUUCUAUAUGUGCUUUGGGAACUUCCUUCAGUGGUUGCAUCGCUGCUACAUAAAAGGGAGACCAGUUUGGGAAGUUCAGACUUGUACAGAAAAUACUUAAGGCUAGAGAGACAUUAAUUUGAAGUUGUUGGUUACUCCUCAGAUGAUGUGAUCCAAACGAGCUCCUUCUCUAUCAAGAAGCUAAACCAUGGGUGACUUUCCCAAAGUGAGUUGGAGGAAAUUGAUAUGCAAUAACUUGAGAGCACCCAACUGGUGCUUCAUACUAUACCUAGCAAUCAAUUAUAGGCUGCUCACCAAGGAUACAUGCAUUGGCAAGGUGGAAAGACAUGGAUGACUUGUUGUGCCCUCUCUGUGAGGUGGAGGAAGAAACCAUUGAUCAUCUGUUCUUUAAAUGCUCAUUAUCCUCUUCUUAUGGGGUAAGGUGUUGGUCUGGCAAGGUGUUAACAGGGGUUCACUAUGUUGGAAGGAUGAAAUACAAUAGGCAAUAUCACAUACUAAAGGAAGAAGUACUGGUGUUUCUAUUCUCAGAAUGUCCCUGGCAUGCUGCUCCUAUACAACUUGAAUCGAAGGAACAGAAGGAUUUUCCAAAAGCAGAAAGUUGCAGUAGGUAGUUUAGUGAAGCAAGUAGUGCGAGAAGUAUAUUGUUGUGGUGCUAAGUAGGGCAGGCUAAGGAGUAGACUUCAUAGUUUAAACUAUUAUUCCUAAGCUUGUGUGAGGAGUGCUAGAUCUUGGUUGCAGUGAUGCCUGGUAGUGCAGGUUUGAGGUUGUCCAAACUCUGUUGUUUUUGUUUUCCUGCUCUGUAA